AAACAUACACUUGUUUGAUUCUAGACCUAGGUUCAUGUUGCAGAUGAGAAAACCACCGGAACACCGUCAGUUGCUCAUCGCCGAUCUUGAGUUUGCCAUCUUGACAACUCCGAUGACAAUCCUGAAGAACCAGAUGAAGGCUUCAAUCACUUCUUCUGAACCAUCCUUCUACGUAAUCAUCCGCAAUAGAUCUGAUUGCCUCUUGCUCGGAUCCAUCUUAAUAAAGUCAGAUCUGAAUCUUCUCAACCCAUAGUCCUAGAAGGAAGCCACGCCAAAGACCUAAGAUGAGGUCUACUUCAUAAGAGAGACAGCGAGGAUAUUACUCCAACAUAAGAGAAGAGUUAAGUUGAUAACUAGCGGGAUUGAAUCUUCAAGCUUUGUAGAAAGAUGAGAGACAAAAACAUCCAAACUUAGCUAAACUAAGAAGGAAAUUUAAAAUCCGAAACAGACUGGAAAUCAAUAUGAUAUCAAUCUCCAGUUUGAAUCAGAAGAACCAGAUCUAUAAACAAAACAAAAAAUCCGGUUAGACCGGAAAAGUAGAGAUCGGAAAACGUUUUCUCUCUCUGAAAGAUGGGAGUGCUUUUGUAAAUCAUAAUUAAUACGAUGUGUUUGUUUAUAAACAAUUUAACAUUUUUCUACAAUUCGUUAUUAUGAAUAUUUAUAAGUAUACUACACGAUUCACUCUACUAAAAACACACACAAUAUUAAACUCAAUGUAUGUAAAGCAAUAUUCCUCCGCGGUGUACCGCAGGUCCGAU
rnacentral:lncRNA from 1 species